ensembl:lncRNA
UGUUUCUGUAUUUUUCAUGUUUAUGAUAUUUUGGAAUGACUGAAGAUCAGCGCAGUAUUCAAUAAUCUUGUGGAUGGACCGCAGCGAGUCCUUUUGCAGUUGUAUCCAUCAAAAUGCUUUGCAGACAUAAUGGAAAUGACAUUCACAUUGUAGAGCUUGGACAAAGUUCACACAGGCUCGGAGCAGGAAUUCAUCAAGGACAUGACUGUUGGGAUUACGGUUGUGGAUGACCAAACUGAGCACCAUCAGUCUGCAGUGAUGUGGUCCAGGUGUAUUGUUGUCUCUCCUCCGCGCUUCCGUGUUCGUCACUAAUUACCGGUGCAUGCAUGACUCCUCUGUCCUACGUCAUCCAUCUGGAACGGCUCUCACGGAAGCGAGAGAAAAGUGUUUAUAACAUUUUAAAUAUGGAUAUUUUUC